rnacentral:rRNA from 1 species
CAGUCGCCGCGGUAAUACGAAGGGGGCUAGCGUUGUUCGGAAUUACUGGGCGUAAAGCGCACGUAGGCGGAUCGAUCAGUCAGGGGUGAAAUCCCAGGGCUCAACCCUGGAACUGCCUUUGAUACUGUCGAUCUGGAGUAUGGAAGAGGUGAGUGGAAUUCCGAGUGUAGAGGUGAAAUUCGUAGAUAUUCGGAGGAACACCAGUGGCGAAGGCGGCUCACUGGUCCAUUACUGACGCUGAGGUGCGAAAGCGUGGGGAGCAAACAGGAUUAGAUACCCGCGUAGUCCCUGUCUCUUAUAC